CAUACCCUUCAUUAUCCUAGGAUUAUCUCAUAUUAAUGGAAACAUACCAUUGAUUUCUUUUUGACAAAGGUCAUAUGCAGUUUUAAUCUCUUCGUAACAUUGGAGAUUUUUCCUGAAUCUGCACUGCUCAUUUUUCUGGCAGAAACUGAUGCAGAGGUUACUCAUGGGAAUAUUUGUGAUCACUUCAUUUGGUCUACAAAAUUGUACAGUUGAGUCUAUCACUUAGGUGAUUGGUGUACAACAUUCAUUUUAUUUUUUCCUGAUUCCAUUGCAGGCUAAAAAUGCCAUUGUUUAAGAGGUCAAAAGCCAGCUAAAAGGAUGACUACAACAGACAAGACUGUUUUUCAAGCAGAUAGAGAAUAAAUUUGGAUUUAUUGUUCAAUUUUGUAUUCCUUGAUUACAUGGCAUGAUUGGAAAUAUUGUACUGCCACUUGGAAAAACAAUUGUUGCUCUCCACGUACUGGCACAGAUUAAUUCUUUUUUAAUCUAGUGUACCAUCGUUGUUUUCAAACGGUGAAAACAUA